UCCGAAUUGGUGUAGUGGCUAACAUUUGACGCUCUCAUCUUCAUCAUUCCGUGGUGUAGGAAAAGUCCCGUCAAGCCCGGGGUUCGAUUCCCCGAUUCGGAG